rnacentral:rRNA from 1 species
UCGACGAAGGCAAGUCUGAAGGGAGCCGACGAUGCGAUACUUGUUGCAAUAGAAGAGGCACGAUCGGGGGUGUUCCAGCCCAACAGAGAGAACGACGAGCUUAUGCGUGCCCUGGGAAAUCCUGAACACCCGGGAAGAACACGAGGCAAGGGUGCUAUUCCGUGGUAUGAGGGGUUUUCAGACUGGAACACCGACUACAGAACCCGUGCGAGAAAGAAGAUUGCGGAGGAGAAGAAGAGGAAGAUGGAGGAGGAGCAGAGGAAGCGGGACUAUGAACGCCUUCAAGGCCUAGAAGCAAGUCAAGCGGAAUUGGCAGUCAAAUUCCAGCGGCAGCAGGAGCAGAUCGACUGA